rnacentral:rRNA from 1 species
GGCCCCGCACAAGCAGCGGAGCGUGUGGUUUAAUUCGAUGCUACACGAAGAACCUUACCAGGGUUUGACAUGCAAGUGGUAGGAAGCUGAAAAGUGACCGACCCUUCGGGGAGCUUGCACAGGUGCUGCAUGGCUGUCGUCAGCUCGUGUCGUGAGAUGUUCGGUUAAGUCCGCUAACGAGCGCAACCCUCGCUGUGUGUUAUAUGUGUCACACGGGACUGCCGGUCUUAAGCCGGAGGAAGGUGGGGAUGAUGUCAAGUCAGCAUGGCCUUUAUAUCCUGGGCCACACACACGCUACAAUGGCCAGCACAAUAGGUUGCCAAACCGCGAGGUGGAGCCAAUCCAUAAAGCUGGUCUCAGUUCAGAUUGCAGGCUGAAACCCGCCUGCAUGAAGAUGGAGUUGCUAGUAACCGCAGGUCAGCUAUACUGCGGUGAAUACGUUCCCGGGGCUU